rnacentral:lncRNA from 1 species
UUCCAUUCAUUUGCUUUACUCGUGUAUAUCGUGGCAAACCAAAGAAGCCAAACACAGUACAAAGAGAAAAACACUCACCAAUGCUUAGCACUGAAGAGAAGGAAGAAACGAAAAUUCUCGAGCAAUGCAAGGCCUCUCAACCCCCAAGGCAGUCAACAUUCCUCCCAGCUUCACAGCAACCACAAACUUACUUCAUACAACGGCCACAUCUUGACUGGAACCAACAGAGAAAGCAUUACAGAGAAAUGGCCUUCUAAGGGACCCCGCAGAAUCCCACUGCUGACCAGAAGGGCAGCUGUCAGGCCAUGGCUUCCCCUCGUCCCACACAGCCAUCUUUUACUUGACAUGGGACAUUCUUACCGUCACAUCGCCACGGCCUUACGAUGGCAUGAGCCACCUCCCUGCCAACCGCUAGAAAUACGGGAACCCUGACAACAG